UACAGGGGGUGCAAACGUUGCUCGGAAUCAUUGGGCGUAAAGCGCACGUAGGCGGUCUGUUAUGUCGGAUGUGAAAGCCCUCGGCUCAACUGAGGAAGUGCAUCCGAAACUGGCAGGCUAGAGUACUAAAGAGGGUCGCGGAAUUCCCGGUGUAGAGGUGAAAUUCGUAGAUAUCGGGAGGAACACCGGUGGCGAAGGCGGCGACCUGGGUAGAUACUGACGCUGAGGUGCGAAAGCAUGGGGAGCGAACAGG
rnacentral:rRNA from 1 species